UGGGGAAUAUUGCACAAUGGGCGCAAGCCUGAUGCAGCCAUGCUGCGUGUGUGAAGAAGGCCUUCGGGUUGUAAAGCACUUUCAGCGGGGAGGAAGGCGAUAAGGUUAAUAACCUCAUCGAUUGACGUUACCCGCAGAAGAAGCACCGGCUAACUCCGUGCCAGCAGCCGCGGUAAUACGGAGGGUGCAAGCGUUAAUCGGAAUUACUGGGCGUAAAGCGCACGCAGGCGGUCUGUCAAGUCGGAUGUGAAAUCCCCGGGCUCAACCUGGGAACUGCAUUCGAAACUGGCAGGCUAGAGUCUUGUAGAGGGGGGUAGAAUUCCAGGUGUAGCGGUGAAAUGCGUAGAGAUCUGGAGGAAUACCGGUGGCGAAGGCGGCCCCCUGGACAAAGACUGACGCUCAGGUGCGAAAGCGUGGGGAGCAAACAGG
rnacentral:rRNA from 1 species